rnacentral:rRNA from 1 species
UGGGGAAUUUUGGACAAUGGGCGAAAGCCUGAUCCAGCAAUGCCGCGUGUGUGAAGAAGGCCUUCGGGUUGUAAAGCACUUUUGUCCGGAAAGAAAUCCUUGGCUCUAAUACAGUCGGGGGGAUGACGGUACCGGAAAAAUUAAGCACCGGCUAACUACGUGCCAGCAGCCGCGGUAAUACGUAGGGUGCAAGCGUUAAUCGGAAUUACUGGGCGUAAAGCGUGCGCAGGCGGUUUGCUAAGACCGAUGUGAAAUCCCCGGGCUCAACCUGGGAACUGCAUUGGUGACUGGCAGGCUAGAGUAUGGCAGAGGGGGGUAGAAUUCCACGUGUAGCAGUGAAAUGCGUAGAGAUGUGGAGGAAUACCGAUGGCGAAGGCAGCCCCCCUGGGGCCAAAUACUGACGCUCAUGCACGAAAGCGUGGGGAGCAAACAGGAUUAGAUACCCUGGGUAGUCCACGCCCUAAACGAUGUCAACU